rnacentral:rRNA from 1 species
GACGAACGCUGGCGGCGUGCUUAACACAUGCAAGUCGAGCGAUGAAGUUCCUUCGGGAAUGGAUUAGCGGCGGACGGGUGAGUAACACGUGGGUAACCUGCCUCAUAGAGGGGAAUAGCCUUUCGAAAGGAAGGUUAAUACCGCAUAAGAUUGUAGUUUCGCAUGAAACAGCAAUUAAAGGAGUAAUCCGCUAUGAGAUGGACCCGCGUCGCAUUAGCUAGUUGGUGGGGUAACGGCUCACCAAGGCGACGAGGCGUAGCCGACCUGAGAGGGUGGGCGGCCACAUUGGGGGUGAGACACGGCCCAGGCUCCUACGGGGGGCAGCAGUGGGGAAUAUUGCACGAUGGGGGAAACCCGGAUGCAGCAACGCGGCGUGAGUGAUGACGGUCUUCGGAUUGGAAAGCUCUGUCUUCAGGGACGAUAAUGACGGUACCUGAGGAGGAAGCCACGGCUAACUACGUGCCAGCCGCCGCGGUAA